AUAGAUUCUCAGCCUUUUGGCUGAGAUCAAAUGUAGUAUCUGUUCAAAGUUGGGAGACCACUGUAAAUAAAAAGAAUGAUUUGUAAUGACAACCAACCAAU
ensembl:snRNA LOC120099531 U2 spliceosomal RNA